UACAGAGGUCUCAAGCGUUGUUCGGAUUCAUUGGGCGUAAAGCGUGCGUAGACGGUUAAAUAAGUCGGGUGUGAAAGCCCCGGGCUCAACCUGGGAAUUGCAUUUGGGACUGCAAGGCUGGAGUGUGGCAGAGGAGACUGGAAUUCCUGGUGUAGCAGUGAAAUGCGUAGAUAUCAGGAGGAAUACCGAUGGCGAAGGCAGGUCUCUGGGCUGACACUGACGCUCAUGCACGAAAGCGUGGGGAGCAAACAGG
rnacentral:rRNA from 1 species